UAAAUCUCUCUUCUUCUUCUUCUUAUCUCUACCCGUCAACAGUAUCACCAAUCUUCUUCUUCUCAUCACUCUCUUUCGUUUUCCCAUUACUGGUCUUCACCUUCUCCUCAUCUUCCUUCACUCUCUUUUAUAGCUUUCACUUUCUUCACCUGUUCUUCCAGUAACUUUGGACACCCUCUUUCUCUUCAAUCUGUUCUCCAUUUUUCUGGUGGACAAGAGCAGAAAAGAUAUGCCUUUAUUAUAGACGAGCUUUGCUUUCU
rnacentral:lncRNA from 1 species